rnacentral:rRNA from 1 species
CAAAGCACUUUGAAGAGAGAGUUAAAGAGGACGUGAAACUGGCACGAUGGAAACGGAUAGAGCUAGCGAACUCGUUUGUAUUCAGCCGGCGAUCUUGGGUUCGGUUCUGUUGUGCUUCAGCCGCUGUGCACGCAGGAUCAAGUGCCUUGGGUCAAAGGUGCAUUUGCGAACGAUUGCGCUGAGACUUGUGGGGCAGCUGUAGGACCCGGUCCAUGAGGCUUCCUUUUGGUUGAACCCUGGACUGGCAUACGACUGUUUGCCCUGCUCGUACUGGUGGUUCGGGGCAACGGGCGAAGCUGUUGCUUGUGCUUUCUGGUGGUGGUAAUAGCACGCUUUACCUAACCUGAGAGUGCCUGCCGCGGUGGAGCCCUCGAACCGUCUCUCGGUGUAAAAGCUGGUCAUCUAUCCGACCCGUCUUGAAACACGGACCAAGGAGUUUAGCGUAUGUGCGAGCCACUGGGUAUUGUAAAACCUAUGGGCGCAAUGAAAGUGAAGGCUCGGUCGCCGAGCUUACAUGCGACCGUUUUGGCUUCGGCCACUGCGGGCAGCAUGGUCCCGUUUCAGUCGCUUGCGACGGAGCGGAGACAGAGUGCAUGCGCUGAGACCCGAAAGAUGGUGAACUAUUCCUGAGCAGGACGAAGCCAGAGG